rnacentral:tRNA from 1 species
AGGGAUGUAGCUCAGUGGCAGAGCACUUGCCUAGCACGCAUGAGACCUGGGUUCAAUCCCCAGCACUGCCA